GGGUUAAAUAAAACUAUGUUUUUAUUGAAAAAGCAUCCUUCAGGUUUGUGUGAUUGUGGAAUGGAAGAUGAGUCAGUGGAGCAUGUUAUUUGUCACUGCAUUAAUUAUGAGAUGCAAAUAAUAAGAUUAAAAGAUGAGUUAAAGAAAUAUGGGGGUGAAUGUAUUAAGUCUUACGGAUAUAUUAAAUGAUGGGCAGACAUAUAAAGCUGUAUUUAUUUUUCUGAAGGAGUCUGGAUUAAUGAAUAGAUUGUAGGUUUUUUUAUUUUAUUUAUUUUUUAUUUUUUAAAGAAAAAAUACAUCUCUGGUCCACACUCCAGUACAGCAGGUGGCGGUUAUGCACCUUAAAAAGUAGUUGUCUCCUGCCAAUUAAAAAGAAGAAGAAGAACAAGAAGAAGAAGAUGAAGAUGAUGAACUUUUGGGUAGAGUCUGUGCAAAUAUAAGUUUAAAAGGUUUCUCCCUACCUCUUAGUUCUUGGCUGAUGAAGGGCACAAACAAGUGUUGUUUGACACAGCAAAGACAUCUGAAGAACUUCCUGUACUGCUGCCUGACCUGGAUAAUAAUGAGACGAGAGGAGCUGAGUGAUUUCAUAAGAUCAGUUUAACCUCUGAAACUCAUGAACCAGAAUAGAGUUUGUUUAGAAUAAACAGGGUGUGGCCAAAGGUUUCAUUGGUGCUUUGUCAUCAUUGCAAGAUUUCAAAUGCAACCCAGUCAGUUCUUCCAAGGCACCAAACGCUGGCUCGUGACCAGACCGCCCCACUGAAACUACAUACUGUGUGGACUUUGAAGACGAGGGGUUUAUUGUUUUCAUUCCAGGUAAUAUGUGUAAAUGUGUUGAGUUUUUACUACAAUUAUAAUGUGCUUUACUAUUCUCAGUGGCAUCUACGCUAAUAUCAGUCUGUUUCAUUAUUAUUCCGAGGUCACCGUAGCCACCCGGAUCCAGUCCGUUUCCAGAUCAGAUGGUGGGUCAGCACCUAGAGACAACCUCUACAGCCCUGAAUGUCAGCGGAGACCACGUCAGCUAGAUGAGCUCCAGAGACAGAUCCCCUCCGAAGACCUCUUUGGCCAUCGGGACAAGACCACAAGAACCAGACAAGUCCUCUGCUCAAUCUGACCUGUGUUGCAGCCUAGAAUUAAACCACACCAUGCUGGUUUCAUCUGGCCAGAGGAGAACUGCCCCCUGACUGAGCCUCGUUUUUCCCAAUGUUUUCUACCCAAUUUCUGUCACCGAUGGAGUUUUGGGUCCUUGCCGCUGUCACCUUUGGCUUGUUUUUUGUUUUUGUUUUUUUGGGGGAAGCUUGGCUGAUUGCAAAGACAUUAUUGGAAGAGAUCUGAACUGGAUGAUGUCAACACUGAAUCACCAAUGAACUGACUUUAACUGGAAAAAUUACUCUUGCAUUAUUGACAAUCUAUUUUCCUGUUUGACUGUAAAGCUGCUUUGACACAAAUCAGUAUUGUAUAAAGCGCUAUAUAAAUAAAGAUGACUUGAUUUGAUUUUAUAUACUGUAACAUCUUUUUCUUUUUUUUUUUUUUUUUUUUUUGACUUCUGCCUAAUUUUAAAGAUGUAAUUGUGAUGAGUAAUAAUAUUUGUAAAUGUUUGUUUUCUAACAUUUUGUUUAGCUUGUUUAGUUUCUCUUAGUUCAUUAAACAUUUUUCUGUUUAAAUUCAACUGAAUUUUGCAGUUGUAUUACAUGAUGUAAUGUACAAACCCGAUUCCAAAAAAGUUGGGACACUGUACAAAUUGUGAAUAAAAACAGAAUGCAAUGAUGUGGAAGUUUCAAAUUUCAAUAUUUUAUUCAGAAUACAACAUAGAUGACAUAUCAAAUGUUUAAACUGAGAAAAUGUAUCAUUUUAAGGGAAAAAUAAGUUGAUUUUAAAUUUCAUGGCAUCAACACAUCUCAAAAAAGUUGGGACAAGGCCAUGUUUACCACUGUGUGGCAUCCCCUCUUCUUUUUAUAACAGUCUGCAAAGGUCUGGCGACUGAGGAGACAAGUUGCUCAAGUUUAGGAAUAGGAAUGUUGUCCCAUUCUUGUCUAAUACAGGCUUCUAGUUGCUCAACUGUCUUAGGUCUUCUUUGUCGCAUAUUUUCUCUUUAUGAUGCGCCAAAUGUUUUAUAUGGGUGAAAGAUGUGGACUGCAGGCUGGCCAUUUC